GCUUCACAGGUGGCUAGUCCUAUAUUCUCUGAUGUCUCACCAAGCACUCUAUUUGUAUGUCUCAGGAGCGCCACAGAUUUAUUAGAGAAGACAAAUCUCAUUGUCUUUCCCCCACGCUUUGUAUCUAGGGAUGCUGUUAAUCUCUAGAGCUGUCGGCAAAUCUCCCCUUUUCUUCACAGCCCACUGCCCACCUGUUGCCAAAUCCUGCUUCUUUCUUCAUCACCUUUGUAAAGUGUCUAUCCAUCUCUCUUAUCUUUCUCCCCUGACUCCAUUUACCCCCAAACCACAUGGAAAAUAACAUUCAAUUCCUUAAUCUUAACAAAGCAUGGGAAAAGGCUCCAGUUUCUUAUAAUGGUUAGAGUGACUGUUCUCAACUUAAAUUCAAUGAACGAAUUUGAUGUUUUUAAACACUACAGUCUGUCCCUGAAGCCUCUGGCUUCUGGGCUGUCAUUAAAAAGAGAGCACAGGGUAGAAAUCCUUGGAAGAAAAGUGGCAUCCCACAAGUAAAACUUAAAUGAUAGAGCUACUCCCUGGGUUUUGCUGAAAGGACUAGCUUAGUUUAUAAACAAUGAGAUAGUCAGGAUAGAAGGUGACCCAACUGACUGCAGUUGUUUGACUGAUGUUGCUAAAACUCAUUAGUAGGGGUUUCAGAGGAACAGCAAAAUAAACUGAGUGGUUCCAUUGUCUGUUAAUCAGCAGAGACAGAUGAGGACAGAACUGGCCCCAACCUGAAAGCCACCAAAUGAUGUUUUCUAUGCCACAGCAUCAUGAUUCCAUAUCUGUGUGUCAUGCGGGUCUUCGUCAUUCAUCAAGGGACAUUGCUCAAACCAAAUUGCAGACUUACUGAAGCAGAAAUUCCAAUCAUCAGAAAACCUAAAACAUUAUGCAAGAAGGUACUGUUUUCAUAUUAAGAUUCAGAACAUACUGUUGCAAGACGGCCGCCUUGUUAUCUACCUUUCAGUUAGUCAUGGGAUCCUUAUGUGAAGCUAGCUUUCGACCUGUCUCUCACCUUCUCCUGCUUGACUCGUGUGAGGAUCCCUCGGGAAGAAGCAGAAUGAGAUUACAUUUACUCAAAAGAAGACAAAAUCAAGAAACAUCAAAACAUCACAAUCUACCCGUAAGCCUGUGUUGUACUUCCUUGCCAAUGCAUCCAGUGUCUAUGAGGAUAAGGGAACAAUCAUUCAUACAACAAAGAAAUAUAUGAAUGAGGAAGUCCAUGUGUCUGGGACAAUUUAUCACUCUGGACUACAAUCCUUGAUAUGCUUUGUCCCUUUAGAAAUAAUCUGUACCAUGCAAAGCUACUUCUUUGCUAACUUGUCUCUUUAGUCCUCAGUGCUCUCUUACUAGGUAAAGCUAUUUCUUUUCUUCUGUCAAACCAAUGAAGAAGCAACAAAUCUUUUUGCUCACAGCCAUCCUUAGCAGGGUACUGAGAAAAAUGUGUUAUAUUCUUUCAGUGACAAGCAGUUCCUUUAAGCUGCAGAAAUGUUCCUCAGAUCUACAAAUAGCAGGAGAUUCUACUUUCUCCAAUCAACUCUAAGCCUCAGAACAUGAUUCUUGUAACCAAGGAAUAAUGUUUUAAACUGACUAAUUAAAUAAAAUUUUCAAAAAAAAGGAAACA
rnacentral:lncRNA from 1 species